UUUUCAAAGUAUUUGCAAUGAACAAAUUCAAUUGCAUGAGAAUAACUUAUGCAAUAAGCUAACUAGCAUUACCUGACUUGACGAUGGAUACUAAGUGCUGUGCGUAUCGACCCGCACAGUGCUGUAGCUAACGCGUUAAGUAUCCCGCCUGGGGAGUACGUUCACAAGAAUGAAACUCAAAGGAAUUGACGGGGGCCCGCACAAGCGGUGGAGCAUGUGGUUCA
rfam:Picea glauca, whole genome shotgun sequence.